GAACUGCUCUGGAAAAUGGACCUUGCUUGAGAACCUCAUGAGACCGGACAUCCAGCAGUCAAGAUUCAAGAAGAAAUGGGAUUCUAAUGGGGGCUCAUUCCCAUCAAAUGGCGUUUAUCUUGAGUUUUGCUGGGCAUAGAGGAACUAAAGGACAUGGGAGUAAGAAAAUUGACU